UUUCAAAACGAAUAUAAGGGGUAGAUCUAGAGAGCAGUAUCACAAAAUCCUCCUCAACAAUCCCUGAUCAAGCUCAUCAGUCUUAAACAAAGACGUUAUCAUUCAACAUGAGAACCCUCUUUUUGCUGGCAUUUGUCAUUGGAGUGACCUACUGUGCUCCGCAAUUGAUGUAUUAUGAGCUAGAG